rnacentral:rRNA from 1 species
CAGAGACUGCAAGCGUUAUUCGGAUUCACUGGGCGUAAAGGGUGCGCAGGCGGCCAAGUGUGUGAGGCGUGAAAGCCUGGAGCUUAACUCCAGAAUUGCACCUCAAACUACAUGGCUAGAGCAUUGGAGAGGGUAGCAGAAUUCAUGGUGUAGCAGUGAAAUGCGUAGAUAUCAUGAGGAAUACCAGAGGCGAAGGCGGCUACCUGGACAAUUGCUGACGCUCAGGCACGAAAGCGUGGGGAGCAAAAGGGAUUAGAUACCCCUGUAGUCCACGCCCUAAACGGUGCACACUAGGUCUUGGCGGAUUCGACCCCACCAGGGCCCAAGCUAACGCGUUAAGUGUGCCGCCUGAGGACUACGGCCGCAUGGCUA